GAAGAUACAGGAGGAAAAAGUAGAGAGAGAGACGUGUCACUUCGCUUCCUCUCUUCCAAAUCGAAUUUUGUGCUCUGGAUAAAAAAACCAUAAUUCCAUUGCUCUCUCUGUUUCUGUAGUAGAUUCUAGGCCCUCGAGCUUACCUGAAGAUGGACAUCGAACAGAAGCAGGCGGAAAUAAUCGAUCUAUUCGUUAAACGAGCUUCUGUAUCCAAAGGCGAUACUCUUGCAUCUAUCCUACGAGAAGCUACUUCGCAUCCUUCGCUUUUUGCCUUCUCAGAGAUUUUGCUUCUGCCUUAUGUUGCCGAGGUCCUCUCGACCUAGCAUCUUUCAUAGGCGCUUAAAGGAACCACUAAUUCUGUAUACCUGGAUCUGGAUGUACUACGGUUAUUCGCACAUGGCACCUGGAGUGAUUACAAAUGUAACACUGGCUGUAUUCCCCAAUUGGUUCCUGAUCAGCUUCUUAAGCUGAAGCAGCUCACUGUCCUUACUCUCGCGGAGAUAAACAAGGUAUUGCCUUAUGAUUUACUGAUGCCCGAGUUAGAUAUCAAAAACGGUAUAGUUAGAGGUAAACUCGAUCAGUUGAAAAGAUGCUUUGAGUUUUUUUUUUCUUGCAAACAUCCAAGUUCAGUUUGCAGCUGGUAGAGGUCUAAGGCCUGGACAGCUUAGGAAUAUGAUUCACAAACUGGAAAAUUGGUAGCUUCGUUAAUCUAUAUCAUCUCUUCUGCUUUGGACCCAUGCUCUUCUAUACUUAUAUGUUAUUUGAGGAACUUAGUUAAACUUGUUACAUAUCAUUACCCUUCUAUUGAGAUUUUAUGUGAGAGACCUUCUCAUGAACGAGUUUUUGUUGUCUCAAUGUUGGAGUCAGUUUAUAUGUGUGUGCACAUAAUUGAUUUUUAUGUUGAGUACAUCAGAAGACCUGCUGGUUUCGAUUCAAGAUAAGAUAAAAGGGCUGACAAUAUGAGUGAAGCAGUCAAUAGAAAUCGAAAGGACGUAGAAGUGAAAAAGUCUCUUUCCAUGAAGUUGCACACUGUGGGCCGGCCGACCUUGAAUUCAGAGGGCAGGAAGAGAUAUUUGGUGAACCAAGUGGGGUGAUGGACUACGAAGAGGAGCGAAGCAGGCCCAAGAGGAGGAGGCAUCCGGUGCCAUGAAACAAGGUGGGAGAGAUGGAUGUGGCAUGGGUUCUCUACUCUACUUGCUGAGAUAGAGUGAGCUGGUGAUAAAUGAUAUACAAUUAUGCGGGAGCAAUGUAAAAAGCCCUUUUAAAAGCGAGAAGAUAUAUAUAAAGGGGGGAAUGAAUGAAUACACACGACUCCUCGUUAGUUUUAAAAUAUUAUUGGAGGAGAGCUUGAUAAGCAGUUGCUGGGAAUCAGUCACGUUUUACUCGAUGUUCUUCUCUCUAUAUAUAUAUACUGCAAAAUAUGGACAUACAAAGGAAUCUUGAACCGAUUCAAUAAUUACUCGUUUCUUUACACGCA